rnacentral:rRNA from 1 species
UGGGGAAUAUUGCACAAUGGAGGGAACUCUGAUGCAGCGACGCCGCGUGAGUGAUGAAGGAAUUCGUUUCGUAAAACUCUGUUCUAUGGGAAGAAAAGGACUGUACCAUAGGAGAAAGCUCCGGCUAAAUACGUGCCAGCAGCCGCGGUAAUACGUAUGGAGCGAGCGUUGUCCGGAAUUAUUGGGCGUAAAGGGUGCGCAGGCGGCUUUACAAGUUGGAUGUGAAAUAUUGUGGCUCAACCACAAACGUGCAUCCAAAACUGCAAAGCUUGAGUUAAGGAGAGGUAAGUGGAAUUCCUGGUGUAGCGGUGGAAUGCGUAGAUAUCAGGAGGAAUACCGGUGGCGAAGGCGACUUCCUGGACUUAAACUGACGCUCAGGCACUAAAGCGUGGGGAGCAAACAGG